GCUCCAGUAGCGUAUAUUAAAGUUGUUGCAGUUAAAAAGCUCGUAGUUGGAUUUCUGGUUGAGUGCGCCUGGCCGCGGCGGUUACGUCUGUGAGUGCCGGAUGCGCGCUCGCCAUCCUGCUAGGGAACGUUUCUACCUUCACUGGGCCGGACUCGCGAUCUAGCUCCUUUACUUUGAAAAAAUUAGAGUGUUUAAAGCAG
rnacentral:rRNA from 1 species